AGCGAACGCUGGCGGCAGGCUUAACACAUGCAAGUCGAGCGGGCCCUUCGGGGUCAGCGGCGGACGGGUGAGUAACGCGUGGGAACGUGCCUUCUGGUCUGGAAUAACCCUGGGAAACUAGGGCUAAUACCGGAUACGCCCUUUUGGGGAAGGGUUUACUGCCGGAAGAUCGGCCCGCGUCUGAUUAGCUAGUUGGUGGGGUAACGGCCUACCAAGGCGACGAUCAGUAGCUGGUCUGAGAGGAUGAUCAGCCACACUGGGACUGAGACACGGCCCAGACUCCUACGGGAGGCAGCAGUGGGGAAUAUUGGACAAUGGGCGCAAGCCUGAUCCAGCCAUGCCGCGUGAGUGAUGAAGGCCUUAGGGUUGUAAAGCUCUUUUAUCCGGGACGAUAAUGACGGUACCGGAGGAAUAAGCCCCGGCUAACUUCGUGCCAGCCGCCGCGGUAA
rnacentral:rRNA from 1 species